rnacentral:rRNA from 1 species
CUAGGAAUAUUGCGCAAUGGGCGCAAGCCUGACGCAGCGACGCCGCGUGCGGGAUGAAGACCCUCGGGUUGUAAACCGUAUGCCUCGUGCUUUGCACGGGGAAAGCGCCUACUAACUACGUGCCAGCAGUCGCGGUAAUACGUAGGGCGCGAGCGUUAUCCGGAAUUAUUGGGCGUAAAGGGUCCGUAGGCGGUUUUUAAGUCCUGUCUUAAAACCUCCGACCUAAUCGGAGAACAGGGCGGGAUACUAAAAACUAGAACUAAAUUAGGGCCGCUGGAACUUAUUGUGUAGGGGUUAAAUCCGUGGAUACAAUAAGGAACACCAAGAGCGAAGGCAGGCGGCUAGAUUUACGUUGACGCUCAAGGACGAAAGCUAGGGUAGCAAACC